rnacentral:rRNA from 1 species
UGUUUCGGCUAGGGGGCCAUCCCGGCUUACCAACCCGAUGCAAACUGCGAAUACCGGAGAAUGUUAUCACGGGAGACACACGGCGGGUGCUAACGUCCGUCGUGAAGAGGGAAACAACCCAGACCGCCAGCUAAGGUCCCAAAGUCAUGGUUAAGUGGGAAACGAUGUGGGAAGGCCCAGACAGCCAGGAUGUUGGCUUAGAAGCAGCCAUCAUUUAAAGAAAGCGUAAUAGCUCACUGGUCGAGUCGGCCUGCGCGGAAGAUGUAACGGGGCUAAACCAUGCACCGAAGCUGCGGCAGCGACACUGUGUGUUGUUGGGUAGGGGAGCGUUCUGUAAGCCUGUGAAGGUGUGUCGUGAGGCAUGCUGGAGGUAUCAGAAGUGCGAAUGCUGACAUAAGUAACGAUAAAGCGGGUGAAAAGCCCGCUCGCCGGAAGACCAAGGGUUCCUGUCCAACGUUAAUCGGGGCAGGGUGAGUCGACCCCUAAGGCGAGGCCGAAAGGCGUAGUCGAUGGGAAACAGGUUA